rnacentral:rRNA from 1 species
CCCUUAGAUGAUUUGGGCUGCACGCGCGCUACACUGACCCUAACAAUGAGCAACUGUCUGGCCUGAGAUGGCUGGGUAGCCUUUUCAACCCAUGUCAUGAUUGGGCUAGAUUUUUGUAAGUCUUGAUCUCUAACGAGGAAUCCCUAGUAUGCGUGAAUCAUCAAUCCAUGCAGAUUAUGUCCCUGCCCUUUGUACACACCGCCCGCCGCUCCUACUGAUUGGAUGGUCCGGUGAGGACUCGGGAUUUUUACCAGUUUCCUUCAUUGGGAAUUGGUGAGGAGAACUUGUCCAAACCUUAUCAUUUAGAGGAAGGUGAAGUCGUAACA